rnacentral:rRNA from 1 species
GACGAACGCUGGCGGCGUGCUUAACACAUGCAAGUCGAACGGAAAGGCCCUGCUUUUGUGGGGUGCUCGAGUUGCGAACUGGUGAGUAACACGUGAGUAACCUGCCCUUGACUUUGGGAUAACUUCAUGAAACUUGGGCUAAUACCGGAUAGGAGCUCCUGCUGCAUGGUGGGGGUUGGAAAGUUUCGGCGGUUGGUGAUGGACUCGCGGCUUAUCAGCUUGUUGGUGGGGUAGUGGCUUACCAAGGCUUUGCCGGGUAGCCGGCCUGAGAGGGUGACCGGCCAAAUUGGGACUGAGAUACGGCCCAGACUCCUACGGGAGGCAGCAGUGGAGAAGAUUGUACAAUGGGCGGAAGCCUGAUGCAGCAACGCCGCGUGCGGGAUGACGGCCUUCGGGUUGUAAACCGCUUUCGCCUGUGACGAAGCGUGAGUGACGGUAAUGGGUAAAGAAGCACCGGCUAACUACGUG